GAUGAACGCUAGCUACAGGCUUAACACAUGCAAGUCGAGGGGCAGCAUGGGAGUAGCUUGCUUUUCUAGCUGACGAGUGGCGGACGGGUGAGUAACAUUUGGGAAACUACCUGAUAGAGGGGGACAACAGUUGGAAACGACUGCUAAUACCGCAUAAAGCCUGAGGGUGAAAGCAGCAAUGCGCUAUCAGAUGUGCCCAAACGGGAUUAGCUAGUAGGUGAGGUAAAGGCUCACCUAGGCGACGAUCUCUAGCUGGUCUGAGAGGAUGAUCAGCCACAUUGGGACUGAGACACGGCCCAGACUCC
rnacentral:rRNA from 1 species